UACGUAGGGCGCAAGCGUUGUCCGGAAUUAUUGGGCGUAAAGAGCUCGUAGGCGGCUUGUCACGUCGAUUGUGAAAGCCCGAGGCUUAACCUCGGGUCUGCAGUCGAUACGGGCUAGCUAGAGUGUGGUAGGGGGAGAUCGGAAUUCCUGGUGUAGCGGUGAAAUGCGCAGAUAUCAGGAGGAACACCGGUGGCGAAGGCGGAUCUCUGGGCCAUUACUGACGCUGAGGAGCGAAAGCGUGGGGAGCAAACAGG
rnacentral:rRNA from 1 species